UUUCUUCCGUUUUCUUCUGCUCCCCCCACCCACCCACAAAAAAACCCUUUGCUUUUCUCAGUUCAUCUGAAGUGUCUUCUUUUCUCUCUCCGGCUCUCCCCUCUUUCUCUUCAAACAAAAUCGACGAAUUCGAAAAUACAGGAAGAUCCAUCAAAUUGUUGUCCAAAUCAAGGUUUUUGUCAAAGUGUUAAUUCGUCAAAGCUUUUUUUUAUAAUAUAUAACCACAUUUUCAUGGCUGAUCCAUGUUUAAGCUAAGUUUAUUUCUCACUUUAUUUUUCUUUGAUGUAGUUAAUUUCUGUCUCCCUUUCCUUGACUUUGUUGAUUACUUUUCGAUUUUAACACUACAAGAAAUUGUACUAUUAACGACGGGAAAUCCCGUCGCGAAAGGCCAAUAAUCAUUGAUUAACGACGGGAUUUCCUGUCGCGAACCCGUCAUAAAAGGGGGUCGUCGUUAAUAGAAAUCCCGUCGUAAAUCCGUCGUAAACCCGUCGUAAAAGACAUUUGCGACGGUUAUUCCCGUCAUUGUUUGGUUGUUAGCCCCGUCGCAAAAGGCUUUUGCGACGGGAUUUUUGACCCUUCGUAAUUAGGUUGUCGUUAAAGAUACAAAUUCUUGUAGUGUAAUUAUGAAUUAGUUGUUUUGUGAAUUUCAAUUGCAGGAGAGUAUCUGUUUGAAGUUUUUCUAGGGUUUCUGUAGGUGUUCCAUUAAUGGCUGCUCCACCUACGAGAGCUCGCGCUGAUUAUAAUUAUCUCAUCAAGCUCCUUAGGCGAUAGUGGUAUGGGUAAGAGUUGCCUCCUCCUGCGGUUUUUUAAUGGUUCCUUCACAACGAGUUUUAUCACAACCAAUGGAUAUGGGAUACUGCUGGUCAGGAAUGGUUCAGGACUCUCAAAACAGGAGGAAGUUUGUUGAUGAAUACAAUGACGAGGAAGUAGAAUUGACAAAAGACGAGAUCAAGAUGAUACGUCGUAUAAUGAAAGGGGAAAUACCACAUGCCUAAACGGAUCCCUAUGCGAUUGCCAUUUUUCAAGUUGUGACAAAGAGCAAAUUGCUGAAGUAAGAACUCAGAGGGUGCGCCACGUUGUUCAACAAUUGUAUAAUAUACAACUCUACUAACUAAUGUAUUUUGCGUUGUUUAAUGUUUGUAAUCUUAUUUUAGAACAUAUCUAUGUAAUCGGUUUAUUAAGGUUACAAUUGCAAAAUUCUUUUCAUUGAGGUUUGUAAAUUAAUACAACUUUUUACUAUACUCUUCAAUAUAUAUUGUUACUUUGAAAUAUGUAAUUAUUGUGUGGUAUAAAAUGAAAUAUAUUGCAGCUAGUAAAAUUAAAAAGAAAAAAAAAAACUAAAAAAAAAAUAUACUUUAAUAGUGCUUUAUAUGCAUCCGCUAUUAUAAAAUAAUUAAAA